GUGCUUGCUUUGGUAGCACAUAUAGUAAAAUUGGAACGAUACAGAGAAGAUUAGCAUGGCCCCUGUGCAAGGAUGACACGCAAAUUCAUGAAGCAUUCCACAUUUAA
rnacentral:snRNA from 1 species